GAUGAACGCUGGCGGCGUGCCUAAUACAUGCAAGUCGAGCGAACGGACGAGAAGCUUGCUUCUCUGAUGUUAGCGGCGGACGGGUGAGUAACACGUGGAUAACCUACCUAUAAGACUGGGAUAACUUCGGGAAGCCGGAGCUAAUACCGGAUGAUAUUUUGAACCGCAUGGUUCAAAAGUGAAGGACGGUCUUGCUGUCACUUAUAGAUGGAUCCGCGCUGCAUUAGCUAGUUGGUAAGGUAACGGCUUACCAAGGCAACGAUGCAUAGCCGACCUGAGAGGGUGAUCGGCCACACUGGAACUGAGACACGGUCCAGACUCCUACGGGAGGCAGCAGUAGGGAAUCUUCCGCAAUGGGCGAAAGCCUGACGGAGCAACGCCGCGUGAGUGAUGAAGGUCUUCGGAUCGUAAAACUCUGUUAUUAGGGAAGAACAUAUGUGUAAGUAACUGUGCACAUCUUGACGGUACCUAAUCAGAAAGCCACGGCUAACUACGUG
rnacentral:rRNA from 1 species